UGAGUCGGCUGGGUAGUCGCGGCAUGGGCAACUAUGUCGAGGAAAGUCGGAGCUCCAAAAGGCAGAGUGCUCGUUAACGGCGAGUCAGGGCGACCUGCAGGAUUAGUGCCACAGAAAAGAAACCGCCGAUGGCCGGGAAACUGGAACAGGUAAGGGUGAAAGGGUGCGGUAAGAGCGCACCAGCAUUUGGGGUGACCCAGGUGGCUUGGUAAACCCCACUCGGAGCAAGGUCAAACCGUGGGACAUGGGCAGCCUGUCCGUCCAGGAAACUGGACAGUCCCCAGGUGGACCGCUGAGAUGGAUGACUACACAACCCCUAUUCCCAGGGGUGGACAGAACUCCGCUUACAGGUCGGCUCACCAC
rnacentral:RNase_P_RNA from 1 species